AAGGGCCGAUGCUGGUUCUCAGACCCUGGUCAGAUACCGAUGUGACCAAGGCAAUGAGCCACGUCUGCAGUCCCAAGGACAAUCUUGCUAAGUGGGAGACUGAUUUUCAGCAAUUUGUCAGAAAAUACCAUCCUAGCAUGUCAGAGCUGCGGCGUCUGAUGUGCAGACUUCUGACACAUGACUAUCACAAGGUUCAGAGUGUGUUCAACACCACAAGAAUGGCUGCUCGCCUUAAAGAUCCUGAUUGUGAGCACGGCACAGAUAUGGACAUUAGAAGUGCUGUAGAUGCUCUCAUUGUGUUGGUAAAAGAACAAUUUCCUCUGAGACUGAACCUCCCCACCGUCACCUCUAUGACACCAUGGCCACAAGAAACAUGCAGCUCCUUCCUGGCACGCCUGACGACAGCUUUUGACAUCCACAGUGGCCUUAAGCGACCUGAUCCAAUGGGGGCACAGCCCCUGAUGCCAUAUGAAGUCCAUCUGAAAGAACAUUUUAUAAGCAGAAUGAGACCUGAGCUUAUACGGAUGGUGAAGAGAUCAUGUGUAACCUGGAAAACGUGUGCUCUUGCAGACAUCCUUCAGCACGCUGAACACGCUGAAGAUGAGUUACACAGGAAAAAGGACAAACUAAAAGGUUUGGAAAAGGCUCAGUAUGCAAUGUUUACGUGCUUGCAGUGCCAACAAUUUGCCCAAGGCCAACGUGGAAGAGGAAGAGGUUAUGGAAGAGCUCGUGGCAGAGGCAGAUCAGAUCGGACUUACGGGAGUUAUGAUCCAAGCGUGUGUUACAAUUGUGGACAACAAGGACAUUGGCGAGCAGAUCAGAUCGGACUUACGGGAGUUAUGAUCCAAGCGUGUGUUACAAUUGUGGACAACAAGGACAUUGGCGAGCAGAGUGUCCUGAGCACAUGAGGAUGAGACACAUCACACGUCUGACUGAGGAAGGCAGAGGGAGGGGCGGACCCCAGAGACGGAGCACCCCAUCACGGAGGAGAAAGUAACGCACCCUACACAUACUCAUAAACGAAACAAAAUAGUUGUGCACACACACACACACACACACACAUCUUAGAUCGCAUGUCGAGUUAUAUUCAGAGAUUCCCAUAAUUAACGUUGACGAUUUCUUGCCAUCCGGUAACACUUGUAGUUGACUCAAGAGCAAUUGGCAUUGUGUUUGAGCUCAACAUCAGAUGGCACACACACAAAAAAAAAAAAAAAGAGACUAAAUUGCAAUUAUUUUAGAUGUUUAACUACAGUCCAAAAACCCUCCUGUAUGUAUAUGGAUGAAAACUACUAGCAUACCUUGAUGCAUUAAUUACUCAUGACCAUGUAAAAAUUGCGCAUACACACACGGUAGAAGAUUACAUGCAUGAACAGUCAUUACAUUGCACAUCCCAUGUAAGCACAGGGCGAGAUAGAAGGUAUGUGGACGUAUGGCAUGACCAAAAGUUGGAGAAAGAGAGAUUAUGGUUGAAGCAUGUGUAUUGGUCAGAGGAGGCUGCUGCGGUGUCUGUAUCUCUCUCUCCUUCCCAAAGGAAAAAAGGUGUUCCUCGAUUCUACCCCACAUUUCAUUGGCUAAACCAUCUCACUGGGAUACAGGAUCUUGGUCCAUGGUUGCAACAGCGUCUCGGCCUAAAGUUCAGACCGGGUGCAGAGGAUCCUCAUGAAGAGUAUAGCGCUAGUGGUAAUGUAGAUCGCACUACGUUGAUCACACGAGUAAGUGUACACAGAACAGUAGAGCUCGUUGAGGAAUACACACAACACGCAGACUUGUAUAGCCUCCCAAACAAGAAGACAUAAGUUGGUUUGUUUUUUUUUUCUUUUUUGGGCGCGGCUAUAAAUGGAUAGGAUGUCCAGUGGGUUACCACAGAAGUCAGGUGUAUUCCACAGAAGCGCUUAGGAACAUCUACAUAAUUUAUAACUCCCUGCAGGGUCGGCCCAUCUAAAUUAUGUGGCUGAUAUGAUGAUUUGCAGCCCAUCAAAGGAGGCUUGUAAAAUUGAUACAAUUUGGCUACUUAAACAUUUGGCAGAGAACGGAAAUAAGGCUUGCCUAUGAAAAACUUAAAUUUGCUCUAGAACAAGUGACUUAUCGGGGACAUGUGAUCACAGCUGAGGGCAAAAUCCCUCUCUCCCAAACGUAUUGGGGCAAUUCAAUUGGUACCAAAAACAAAAAAAAAACGAAUGAUGAGUUUUUUGGGGAUGACUUCAUACUGUAGACAGUGGAUCCCUAUUUAUUCAGAAAGAGAGGCACCUCUCUCGUUCAUGGUCCACGGUAAAGGCCUCAGCGCGCAUGACAAACUGACUUGGACUACUGAAGCUGAAAAGGCUUUUCAGGACUUAAAGACUUCCUUAUCACAGGCCCCGACUCUGGGCCUGCUGAGACCCGACUUACCGUAGACUCUGUUCAUAGACCAGAAGGACUGUUAAAUGACAUCAGUUUUGUGUCAUCUUCAUGGAGGACAACUUAGGCCUGUUGCCUACUUCUCCUCAAAACUUGACCCUGUUGCUUCGGGUCUUCCUCUGUUUGCGAGCAGUGGCAGCAGCCGAGAGAGACAUUUUAGCAUCAUGUGACAUUGUGGGCUUCUGUGAUGUCCCACUUACUGUCUCUCAUAUCUUAUAUGCCCAGAAGACUUCUCACCUCUCUGCUCAGAGAUGGUUCAGAUAUCCUACAACUUAAUGUAAUUGUCAAACGAUGCAAUGUCCUUAACCCAUCUACACUUCUUCCAACUGCAGAUGACAGAGAGCUUCAUGACUGUGUCGAAGUCUUGCAGCAGACAUGCAUACCAAGGCCUGAUCUGUUGGACACACCUCUUCCCAAUGCAGAUCUUGAGCUGUUUGUAGACGGCUCCGCUUCUCGCUCACCAGACACGGGCAGCGGUCAGGUUGGGUUUUCAGUGGUUACAUCACACAGCACACUUGUUAGUGGCAGGCUUCCUUCACACUUCUCAGCACAGGCGGUAGAGUUGAUUGCACUUGCCGAGGCAUGUAAAGCAGCUGAAGGUAAAACAGUUAACAUCUUCGCUGAUUCACGUUAUUCUUCUGGUGCGGAGCUCUUUAGAGACACAGGGGGUUUCUUACGUCAUCUGGCAAGCCUAUUGCACAUCAUACCCUUGUGUCUGCUUUUCUGGAUGCCAUUUUACUACCCAGAGCCAUUGCAGUCAUUAAACGUGAAGCUCACACCUCUUCUCUUGACCCUGUAUCUGUAGGAAACAGGGGCGCGGAUGCGGCUGCGAAGAAGGCAGCCUCGCAGGGCUUCCUUUUCCCCCUGGCUCACAUGCUUUCCACACCGACCGAUCCUAGUCCUUAUGCCGAUCUUUCAACACUUCGGCCUCUUGCCGGUGCACAGGAGCGUUCCCUGUGGAAACGAUCUGGUGCCAUUCUUGAGGGCGGAAUCUACACAGGGCCGGACAGUAGGCCCUGUUUGCCACGUGCUCUCUUCCACAUUUAUGCUAAGUUGUCUCACGGAAAAGAUCACGUGGGCAAAGGGGGGAUGUGCACUGCUAUAAAUGAGCAUGCUGAGAUAUUGUGCUAACCUCUCCCCUUCACUCUCAGCACUGCACGAAGAGGUGAAAGCGGCGCUUCCAUCCACAGCUACAGCAAUGCAGCACCACCGAAAACCAGGAGACUGGGUCCUCAUUAAGGAUCACUGGAGGAAGCAGAGACGCUACACGGGGCCCUUCCAAGUACUCCUGACCACGGAGACGGCAGUUGAGGUGGAAGGGAAAGCGACGUGGGUUCACGCCAGCCACUGCAAACGCAUCCCGGAUCCAGGAGGCGAAGGAGCACCUCCAUCUGGUUCCGGUUAAGGGGUUGCAGGGUGGAGAGCCCUCCCCCACUGCAGUGUUCCAGGACACCGACGAGCCCGGUAGAGACGGCAGAGACAGCAAGGACGGCAGCCACCCGGAGAACAGCGAUAAAAGACAGAUCUCCAGCGCCAAAGAACACUUAGGAAGCAUGGUUGGAGCCUGAGAAUGAACAUGUGUUUAUCACUAUCACUGGCCACAUUUGUGCUGAUUCCCCUCACGAUCAAUGAACUACAACCUCCUUAUGUGAACAUCACGGAUUCCAGCGUUCUCCACCUCUCCAAUAGAGAAUUUCAGGAAGUUUCCACUGUCCAGCAAAACAAUGCGACAAGACAGAGUGUUUGCUCUACACAAUCGAACAUGAUGCAUGGGUUGAAAUAGAAAGUUACGUAAAUGAAAUUGUGUGUGUUGCCGGGUUGGGAGAAGAAUAUGUACUGUGGGGGUGCACAAGAGUUUUGAUUUAGCAGAUCCACCAUUCUGGUGCAGUAAACCGUGAUCGUGUCAGGAGAUACCAGCCUACACUGGCUCCAGCAACUGGAGGGAGGCAUGCAAAAGAACUUACCAGCCUGUCUGAGAGACACAGCCUAAAACAGCACAACCUGAAAUAAUUUACGGGGCCGUUAAACCACAGGCCCUGACCUCCCUUAGGCCAGAACAGCCCCCCACUAAAGCAACUUGGAGGCGAGGGUUGAUCUCUCUCAAUUGUCCGAGAGGGGGGACUGAGAAGGAGGGUUGUAAAGCUUACAUGUUACGGCUGAGCACGCCGCACUUAGGUCACUGGUCAGUCCUGGACUCGGAGGACGUUAGAACUCAGUGUCAGACAAAUGAUACUUGUACGAUGUCUGUAAGUCCUAAAUAUGAUGCAAGUUGGGAAUACCCGUUCCGGUGCGCUCUACCUGAAGGUUGUACGACGGAACCAGCCCAUUUCACUCGGCUAGAUUGGCAGUAUGCGUGCAAGUAAGCCUAACGUUAAGAACUUCCAAACCGUACACCACCGUACAAGCAUGAUAAUAUUGCGUUGACUAUUAUGAAGGAUUUUGCUAACAAAAGGAAUGUCUAAUUGUUGGAUAUGUCAGCAUAUGCCCAUUUCAUCUAGAGCACCUAUGUUGGUUCCUGUUCCAUUCACGGAAGCCGACUGGGCUGUCAUGGGGUGGGCUGAGCUAUCUCAUCGAUUUGUGAGUAAUGAUGAAGACUGUUACACUCCUCCAUCGCAUACGGCGACAAGAGCGCAAAGCACAACUGCCUAUGAGGGUGAAAAGGGGAAAGUUGUGCGUUUUGCAGUUAAGCAAUUUAAUCUUGAGGAAAGGCCCGUAGGUAUUAAUCAAGUGAUGUUGUUUAGAUUAACCUAUUACAAAAGAUACGUCCAACAAGGGUUAAGAUAUCAAGUGCAAAUGACUCUCGGUGAGACUAAUUGUACGGCGGAGAAUGAAUUGUUAAAAACUGCAUGUACUCUCAUACCAAAUACAGCAUCUAUUCGAUUGGAGAUGGGUAUACAGAGCAUCCCUUGGGCAAAUUAUUUAAAAGUCACACAUACAACUUGGAGUAGACAUAAUUGUAGUAAACCUUUAAUCCCAACUAGACCUCCGAAUAGAGAUUGUACUAACCCAACACCUCCCAUUCCGGUCCAUCCCUUAACCAACGUCAGCCGCUGUGUUAACUUCUAUGCCCUGGAUGGAUUUCAUCUAGGUACGAGUGACUGUAGUAAUGAUAUUAUCAGCUUUGCCACUGAGUUUAAGGACCUCGCAUUACCGGGAAAGGUGUAUUUAG
ensembl:lncRNA